AAGAAAACACAUUUUGGAGGGACAUCAUUAUGGCUUCACGGGGCACUGGGCAAUAGAAGGAAGAUCCCGUAUGAACAUCUGUGUUGUAAUUUUCCAUGACUAUCUCAGAAUGACCAAAACAUGACUACUAUUUUCUGGAUCAAAAAGUCAUGUAGGCUUGAUACUGACCUCUUUGGACAAACAUGGCUUAGGUAAGAGUCCAAACUCUUUUUUUUGGAAAUUGAGCAAGACUGGAAAUUUUUUCAGGGAGAAACAACCAAAGUUCAUAACCAAAUAGCAAUGUGUUUGCCUAACCUUGGAGAAACUUUUUUAUUUUAAGUUAUAAAAUUUGACGUUAUUGAAAACCUUCCCCCAAUGCAAAAGACAAUAGAAAGCACGAGAGGACCCAAGGUUGAGAAUGUGAAGACUUUGUGUGUGUGCGUGUGUGUGUGUGUGAAUGUGAAGACAUUGUGUGUGUGCGUGUAUGUGUGUGUGAAUGUGAAGAUAUUGUGUGUGUGUGUGUGUGUGUGUGUGUUGCUGUCAAAAGACAAAAUCGUGACAGAUUUAGUUUAAAGAUCUGGAUUGGCUCUUAUUUGUGAUUCUAGAAUUGGAUACCAUCUCAUUCUAUAAAGUAGAGUGAGUGUUCUGAUGAGCUGAGCUGGGGAGGUUGGUUUUAUAGACAGGAAAGGGCUGAAGAAGUCAGGCAUAGCCAAUCAAAAGCAGAGAUGUUCUUUGCAGGGUUGAAACAGGGGGACUUCCUCACCCCGCCAGCUGAAACUGGCCUGUUUGCGGAUUUGGCUAUUAUCUUUCUCUCUCUCCUGAUUUCUCAGGAGGUCAGAUCAACUGCUUAGUUUCAGCUUGGUGGCAUGGAACUUGACUAGCAGUAUCUCCAUUUUGGUUUAUUCUGUUGGGCCUAGUGCAGGAUCUUAGU
rnacentral:lncRNA from 1 species